GCAUUGCAGAAGAGUCCCACACUAGGACGAAACGGCCGUCCAGUUC
rnacentral:hammerhead_ribozyme from 1 species